rnacentral:piRNA from 1 species
UGUGCUGACCCUGCAGGGGCAGAGGUG